rnacentral:rRNA from 1 species
CUUUACUGUAGCUUGGAAUUGGGUUCGGGCUCUUCUUGCGCAGCCUAGGUGGGAGGCUAUGAAGAUAGACUUUUGGGUUUAUUGGAGCCAUCAGUGAGAGACCACUCUAGAGGAGCUAGAAUUCUAAUGGCGUUCCUUGAAGCAGGACGCUUGACAGUUUCAGGUGGGCAGUUUGACUGGGGCGGUCACCUCCUAAAAGGUAACGGAGGUGUGCAAAGGUUCCCUCAGGCUGGACGGAAAUCAGCCGUAGAGUGUAAAGGCAAAAGGGAGCUUGACUGCAAGACCUACAAGUCGAGCAGGGGCGAAAGCCGGCCUUAGUGAUCCGACGGUUCCGAGUGGAAGGGCCGUCGCUAAACGGAUAAAAGUUA